rnacentral:rRNA from 1 species
CGAACGGCAGCGCGGGGCAACCUGGCGGCGAGUGGCGAACGGGUGAGUAAUAUAUCGGAACGUACCCUGGAGUGGGGGAUAACGUAGCGAAAGUUACGCUAAUACCGCAUACGAUCUAAGGAUGAAAGUGGGGGAUUCGCAAGAACCUCAUGCUCCUGGAGCGGCCGAUAUCUGAUUAGCUAGUUGGUAGGGUAAAAGCCUACCAAGGCAUCGAUCAGUAGCUGGUCUGAGAGGACGACCAGCCACACUGGAACUGAGACACGGUCCAGACUCCUACGGGAGGCAGCAGUGGGGAAUUUUGGACAAUGGGCGCAAGCCUGAUCCAGCAAUGCCGCGUGAGUGAAGAAGGCCUUCGGGUUGUAAAGCUCUUUUGUCAGGGAAGAAACGGGGCUUUCUAAUACAGAGGCCUAAUGACGGUACCUGAAGAAUAAGCACCGGCUAACUACGUGCCAGCAGCCGCGGUAAUACGUAGGGUGCAAGCGUUAAUCGGAAUUACUGGGCG